rnacentral:lncRNA from 1 species
GCCUGAUUUCUGAGCUUUCGAGCUUCUUUUGCAUCAUGGGGAAGAAUCCCAUCUUUGAGGUAUGCAACCAGUGGGUCAAUCCAGCUGGGUUCAUGGCUGAUCUCUAUUACAAGCUGUGGUUCUUCUGUACUUGGACAUUUCAUAACCUCGAAGAGGACUUCCUUGGAUAGUUCAGCCGGAGCCAGUGUAGCCAACUUGGAGAGA